rnacentral:lncRNA from 1 species
UGAGUUGCAUGCACCUAGUGCAUGAGUGCAAGUGAGAGAGAAAGAGAGUUGUCUUUUAGGUUUAUAAAAGACGAGAGAAGAAUAAGAGAGAUUCACAAAGAGGGCUCGGGAUUGUAGCCACUCAGAAGAGAAGUCAGGUGUAAUCUUCUUUUAUUUAAUGAAUCGUAUUUUACCCGCAUUUUUUUUUUAGUUUUUCUCUCUUUUGUAAUUGUAUCAGUUUUUGCUGUGGAGACGGAUUUAAGAUAAAAACCCGAUUCGUUGCGGAAUCACAACAAUUGGUACCGCAUCAACAACAGUCGGUAUCAGAGCGGUUUACGGAUUCACAAAAUCCGAUACCGAGGCGAGUACCGGAUUCCCAACAUCUACAUAAUCACUGCCUCUCCAUUUCCCCAUUUUCUCAUUUCCUCUCUCUUUUCUCUCCGUUUAACCAAAAAUUAAAAAAAUAAAAUAAAAUAAAAAAAUCUCU